GUUGUCGUGGCCGAGUGGUUAGGGCGAUAGACUAGAAAUUGUUUGGGAUCUUCCCGCGCAAGUUCGAAUCCUGCCGGCAACG
rnacentral:tRNA from 1 species